CAAGUACUCCCUCCGUUCCGAAUUACUUGUCUCGAAAAUGGAUGUAACUAGAACUAAAAUACAUCUAGAUACAUCCAUUUUCGCGACAAGUAAUUCCGAACGGAGGGAGUAGUCC
rnacentral:pre_miRNA from 1 species